rnacentral:tRNA from 1 species
GUCGAUGUACUCUUAACGGUAAAGCGGUGUGUCCCUGUUAACAGGUGACAACAUUAUAUGCGGGUUCAACUCCCGUCAUCGACC